rnacentral:tRNA from 1 species
UAGCUCAGUCAGUAGAGCGUAGCACUAACAACGCUAAGGUUGCGGGUUCGAUUCUCGU